rnacentral:rRNA from 1 species
CCUACGGGGGGCAGCAGUGGGGGAUAUUGCACAAUGGGCGCAAGCCUGAUGCAGCGACGCCGCGUGAGCGAAGAAGUAUUUCGGUAUGUAAAGCCCUAUCAGCAGGGAAGAAAAUGACGGUACCUGACUAAGAAGCUCCGGCUAAAUACGUGCCAGCAGCCGCGGUAAUACGUCUGGAGCAAGCGUUAUCCGGAUUUACUGGGUGUAAAGGGAGCGUAGGGGGCUAUGUAGGUUUGAUGGGAAAAUUUGGGGGUAAACCCCAAACGUGCAUUGGAAACUGGCGGGCUUGAGUGCCGGAGAGGCAGGCGGAAUUCCUAGUGUAGCGGUGAAAUGCGUAGAUAUUAGGAGGAACACCGACGGCGAAGGCAGCCUGCUGGACCGCGACUGACGUUGAGGCUCGAAAGCGUGGGGAGCGAACAGGAUUAGAUACCCCUGUAGUC